rnacentral:rRNA from 1 species
UACGUAGGGUGCGAGCGUUACUCGGAAUUACUGGGCGUAAAGUGUGCGCAGGCGGCCGCGCAAGUCGAGUGUGAAAGCCCCGGGCUUAACUUGGGAAUUGCGCUCGAAACUACGUGGCUGGAGUGUGGCAGAGGAAGGUGGAAUUCCAGGUGUAGCGGUGAAAUGCGUAGAGAUCUGGAGGAACACCGAUGGCGAAGGCAGCCUUCUGGGCCAACACUGACGCUCAUGCACGAAAGCGUGGGGAGCAAACAGG